AUACGCAACACCAGCCUAGGAGUGACUCAGUAGUCUAGUGGGCAAUGCCUGAAGUUCCAGAAGUCAAAAGCUUGAGGCCACGGGUUCGAAUCCCGCUCUGGGCCAAAGUUUUUUUUUAUUUUUUAUAUAUUUUUUGGAGGUCCAAGUAUCAUUUUAGGAAAUAGACGCCCGGGCUUUUAUUUAAGGAAAUGCGGUACAUGUACAUGUAUACAUGCUAAAUUUAUUUGGUACCAGAGUAAUGGUAAUUACUGUAUAGUACAUUUAUAAAUGCAUGUACAUGUACACCUAUACAUCAUUAUGAUUGUAAUAUUGCUUUGAUGAUAAUAACACAUGUACAUGUGUAUCUUUACCAGUUUUAAGGUUGAAUUGAAACUAAUAAACAUUACCUAUUCAGGCCUUAUAUGGUAAGGCUUGAUUCGUAAUCCUCAUGUGAAAAUUAAACAUUUUAGUUUGACGAUGUGAUGAUAAUUUUUUGAUAUUAAAGCAUUUAAUAUUUUUCAUGUCCAAGAAACAUGUAAGUCUAAUGAAGAAUAGGCAUAUCAUAACUGAUACAUGAUAAUGUUGAUUACAGUCUUCUUAAAUGUAUGUCAACUGUCACAUUUUGCUGCAAUUGUAAUGUUAAAUUGGAAGAGAUUUAAGGAAGAUUAAAGAAUGAUAAUUAAUAUUGUUUUCUUAGGCAGUUUUGUUGUAUUUUAAUUGAUGCUUCACUGUCUGAUUAUUUUGAAUGUUGUUGUUGCAACUUGCAGGUCAACAAAUGUUAUCAAAUUGUUUUUAAAAUCCUGACAUUGAAAGUGAAAGUAUAUGAAUAGUCAAUCCUAGGGAAUACCAUUACCAACAGGAGCACAAGUGUGAUUGUCUGUAUCCUGAACCUUGUGAUAAUUAUUACUAUCCAAGAUGACUAUGAGAAGUUACUAACUCAUGAUAUUAAUGUCCAAUUCCUUCAAGUACUGGCCCCAGGUAUUGUUCAUCCUAUAAUUGCUCCUCUAACAAGACUGGUAGUGCCACUAAUGUGUAUCCUUCAGUUAGUACUCCUUCUGGUGACAAAUCACUUGCUGAUGGGGUGGGCAUUAAUAAGAGUUUCAAAAUAGAGGAUUUGGGACUUGUGUGGUAGAUGGUGGAUUCACUGCAUCACUUCUUAUAUCCAGAUGGUUGUCAGUUGUAUGCUCCUGAGAGGGAGCCAGCCUGUGUUCCUCUUGUCCUUACUAAUAUCCUUGGUACUUGUACUUAUGCCAUGGCUAUCAAGUCCAUACGUCAAUUCUUCAUUGAAAAGGUACUCCGACUAACAGUAAACUGAUAUACCUCCCAACGGUCAUUGUAAUGAUCUCAAGGAUGCCUUACUUUAGACUCUUGAAGGAAGCACUAUCUGGGAAGUAACUAUACCUGCAUAGUUGUUCAUCACCAACAAUCAUUAUGCCACCCAGAGGAGAUCUUCAUCUUUUACACAAGUAUACACAUUGUAGGUAGAGGUAUUCAGAAGAUACUGAAGGUGUGGCCACAGACCAGUGCCCCGCCCCCCUCAGACUCACUACUUGAUGUUAGCACCAAUCCCAGUACAGAUUGGACUCAAUAGGUCAAUGGAAAUGAAAGAGAGGGACAGAAUGGGGACAUCAUUCAUUCUAUCAAAGGAUGUGGUAUCUUGUGAGGCCAGUCAUUCUCUGGCAGUGUGUGUCUUACUGGGUGUCUGGUCUAUGACUAUUGAGCUAUUGGGACGGGUCUGUCUCAGGUCAGUUGGUAAACUCAAGCACUCAAUAUUCAACCAGUUGCAAGAUGUGUCUUGAAUGGGAGGAGACUCUGUUGUUGCUAUAGCAAGUUCAUUUAGGCUCUGAUGAGGACUUUAUUAAUGGACAAUAUGUGACCAAAAAUGUGCGUAUUACUUUUAAUUUUGACUGGUUUUUUAUUUUUUAAUGAUAAUUUAAAACAUUUCUAACUAAUAAUAUUGGUAAAUAAUGUGUCUAAGUGACUAGUGCCCUCUACUUGACAUGCCUUAUUAUUAAGUUAUUGUAUUACAGAAAAGCGAGCA